rnacentral:rRNA from 1 species
GAUGAACGCUGGCGGCGUGCCUAAUACAUGCAAGUCGAGCGAACAGACGAGGAGCUUGCUCCUCUGACGUUAGCGGCGGACGGGUGAGUAACACGUGGAUAACCUACCUAUAAGACUGGGAUAACUUCGGGAAACCGGAGCUAAUACCGGAUAAUAUAUUGAACCGCAUGGUUCAAUAGUGAAAGACGGUUUUGCUGUCACUUAUAGAUGGAUCCGCGCCGCAUUAGCUAGUUGGUAAGGUAACGGCUUACCAAGGCAACGAUGCGUAGCCGACCUGAGAGGGUGAUCAGCCACACUGGAACUGAGACACGGUCCAGACUCCUACGGGAGGCAGCAGUAGGGAAGCUUCCGCAAUGGGCGGAAGCCUGACGGAGCAACGCCGCGUGAGUGAUGAAGGUCUUCGGAUCGUAAAGCUCUGUUAUUAGGGAAGAACAAAUGUGUAAGUAACUAUGCACGUCUUGACGGUACCUAAUCAGAAAGCCACGGCUAACUACGUG